rnacentral:rRNA from 1 species
ACGCGUGGGUAACCUGCCUUAUACAGGGGGAUAACAGUCAGAAAUGACUGCUAAUACCGCAUAAUGUCACAGUAUCGCAUGGUACAGUGACCAAAGGAGCAAUCCGCUGAAAGAUGGACUCGCGUCCGAUUAGCUAGUUGGCGGGAUAAAGGCCCACCAAGGCGACGAUCGGUAGCCGGACUGAGAGGUUGAUCGGCCACAUUGGGACUGAGACACGGCCCAGACUCCUACGGGAGGCAGCAUG